UCAUGAGCCACCAGCUCCUACACACGUUGAAACGUGUGAUAGGCCUGCGCAUGUUCGACCUGUUGGCCCUCGAAGGGUUGGUGCCCUGAAGAGGAAGAAGACCGCCCACAAGUCCCAUGACGGUCAGCGUCCCUAUGGAGUGGACUUAGGGAGCACUGCCGAUGGCGGGGGAGGGUUCUUCGAAGAGGGCGAAAUCCCACCGGGUCCGGUGUCCCCUGGUGCUGAUAACAUGGAUUGCCUUGUGCAACAAAUGUGUGACGCUCUUCACGACGGGUCCUUGGGCAUUGAUCUGAACAUCGACCUUGAGCAGAUGAAUAAUGUUGAGCCCGUAGUCCCUUGUUCAGGUACGUCCACAUUCAAUGUCAUUUUCCUCAAGCCUGGGGAAGGAAGACUUCUCGUUUUUGCUGAAAGUAUUUUCUUGAUCUUUCAUCAUUCAGGUCAUCCUGCAGAUGUUGCAAUGGAGGGGCCAAGCUUCUCGAAGCCGGAUGCCGGUUUAUUAGCUGACAUGUUGGCUGAGCAAACUUCCAUAGGGACCGAGAGACCAUUCCUUGGGAAUGAUUCGUCUACCGGUACAUAUCUGAUUCUCCUCCUCUUGCCCGAUCUUUUAUUUGACUAAUGAAUGAUUGACUAUCGCAGCGUCAACUAUUGGAGUUAGCCCGGUAUCUAUCCCUGGCAUAUCCAGUUUGCCUCAGAAUGACGGGCUUGCAGGACCAGCCACUAGGACUGAUUCUCAUAUGACUCCUGGCAUCCCUCAAAUGCCUACGGGUGAAGGAUCUACAGGUAUGUAGAUGACUGUA